rnacentral:rRNA from 1 species
GUCGCCUAGGGGCGCAGCAGUGAGGAAUAUUGGUCAAUGGGCUUACGCCUGAACCAGCCAAGUCGCGUGAGGGAAGACUGCCCUAUGGGUUGUAAACCUCUUUUGUCAGGGAGCAACGCCGGCUACGUGUAGCCGGACUGAGAGUACCUGAAGAAAAAGCAUCGGCUAACUCCGUGCCAGCAGUCGCGGUAAUACGGAGGAUGCGAGCGUUAUCCGGAUUUAUUGGGUUUAAAGGGUGCGUAGGCGGAAUGCCAAGUCAGCGGUAAAAUCGCGGGGCUCAACCUCGCUCCGCCGUUGAAACUGGG